UACGUAGGUGGCAAGCGUUGUCCGGAAUCAUUGGGCGUAAAGCGCGUGUAGGCGGUUCGGUAAGUCGGCUGUGAAAGUCCAGGGCUCAACCCUGGGAUGCCGGUCGAUACUGCCGGACUAGAGUUCGGAAGAGGCGAGUGGAAUUCCCGGUGUAGCGGUGAAAUGCGCAGAUAUCGGGAGGAACACCAAUGGCGAAGGCAGCUCGCUGGGACGUUACUGACGCUGAGACGCGAAAGCGUGGGGAGCAAACAGG
rnacentral:rRNA from 1 species